CUGAUUUCUGUGGUAAAGGCAGGGAGCACAGUCCAAAUUACAGUUUCUCAUCUCUCUCUGACCAACCCUGCCUUGCACACUGCAGCAUAGUCCCCAUCAGCUGGCACUCUGUUACUCAAGCUGACUUUUUGGAGCUAGCUGGUAAAUCCACAGUACAUUGCUACAUGGACCUGCAUGGAGACUGCAUUUUAAUAUGUACCCACCCAAGUCUGGACCCCAGCCUGGAUACUGGAGCAGCUGAGGAGGGCUGGAAAGAGUGAUCCUGUACCCAGCCAUGUGAGGUCAUUUCAGAAAACACCUCCUUGCACGCCUGGGGCACAGGGCUGUGGGGAAUGGUGUGCCAAAUGUGAAGCACCACUGCUGAGAUCAUCCCCCUGCUGCAACCCUGCAGGUCAGUGUAGCUGCUUCCCAGGGUGAAAGGCACCUUCUGUGUGUAGGGGCUCCCCCCAGCUCUGUACCAAAUGCAUCCUUGGCAGUUUUUAAGAACAGAUAAUGAACAGAUCUAUGGCAAAUAACAUGUGGUGACUUCUACUCCAGACACUCCCCUCGCCCUCACAGUAAAAUGUAGAGCCUUGCAUCAUCCCAUGAGGCCCUUUUGGGCUCUUUUGGCAUGUAGGGAAAGACCAGGUAUAGACUGGAAAUGUCUAACAUAUGAGAUGCUGCGAGUGCACCAUUCCUGAUUACCUUCCUAUCAAAUGGCUCUCCUGGUCCCUGUUGUCAGUGUGUCUCUUGAGUAGAUGAGACACUUCAGGCACUGAAAAGAUAGACCCAUUUAAACCAGUAAUGUAAGAGACAUAGUGGGAAAGGUGUCACUGUACAUAUUUACAGUUCUUCAUCCCAUCUGUCACUUUUUAUUAUAGCUGGCCAACUUC